AACGAACGCUGGCGGCAGGCUUAACACAUGCAAGUCGAGCGAGACCUUCGGGUCUACCGGCGGACGGGUGAGUAACGCGUGGGAACGUUCCCUUCUCUACCGAAUAGCCCCGGGAAACUGGGAGUAAUACCGUAUACGCCCUCUUGCGGAAAGAUUGAUCGGAGAAGGGUCGGCCCGCGUUCGUUUAGGUAGUUGGUGGGGUAAUGGCCCACCAAGCAGACGAUCCAUAGCUGGUUCGAGACGAUGAUCAGCCACACUGGGACUGGGACACGGCGCAGACUCCGGCGGGAGGGAGCAGUGGGGAAUCUGAGACAAUGGGGGCAAGACUGAUCUAGCCAGGCCGCGAGAGUGAUGAAGGCCUUAGGGUUGUAAAGCUCUUUCAGCUGGGAAGAUAAUGACGGUACCAGAAGAAGAAGCCCCGGCUAACUCCGU
rnacentral:rRNA from 1 species